rnacentral:rRNA from 1 species
UACGGAGGAUUCAAGCGUUAUCCGGAUUUAUUGGGUUUAAAGGGUGCGUAGGCGGUCGGAUAAGUUAGAGGUGAAAUCCCGGGGCUCAACUUCGGAAUUGCCUCUGAUACUGUUCGGCUAGAGAGUAGUUGCGGUAGGCGGAAUGUAUGGUGUAGCGGUGAAAUGCUUAGAGAUCAUACAGAACACCGAUUGCGAAGGCAGCUUACCAAGCUACUUCUGACGCUGAGGCUCGAAAGCGUGGGGAGCAAACAGG